rnacentral:rRNA from 1 species
UCCGGUUGAUCCCGCCGGAGGUUACUGCUAUCGAGGUCCGACUAAGCCAUGCGAGUCGAAUGUAGCAAUACAUGGCGUACCGCUCAGUAACACGUGGACAACCUACCCUUAGGUCGGGGAUAAACCCGGGAAACUGGGUAUAAUACCCGAUAGUCCUCGGAUGCUGGAACGCACCGAGGUCUAAAGCUCCGGCGCCUAAGGAUGGGUCUGCGGCCUAUCAGGUAGUAGUGGGUGUAGCGUACCUACUAGCCUACGACGGGUACGGGUUGUGAGAGCGAGAGCCUGGAGAUGGAUUCUGAGACACGAAUCCAGGCCCUACGGGGUGCAGCAGGCGCGAAAACUUUACAAUGCUGGAAACAGCGAUAAGGGGACCUUGAGUGCCAGGUUACAAAUCUGGCUGUCGUGAUGCCUAAAAAGCAUUGCAUAGCAAGGGCCGGGCAAGACCGGUGCCAGCCGCCGCGGUAACACCGGCGGCUCGAGUGGUAACCGCUAUUAUUGGGUCUAAAGGGUCUGUAGCCGGCCGGAUAAGUCUUUUGGGAAAUCUGGCAGCUUAACUGUCAGGCUUUCAGAGGAUACUGUCUGGCUCGAGGCCGGGAGAGGUGAGAGGUACUUCAGGGGUAGGGGUGAAAUCUUGUAAUCCUUGAAGGACCACCAGUGGCGAAGGCGUCUCACCAGAACGGACCUGACGGCAAGGGAC